UCUGCAAGGAGCUGCCAGCAAAUAGAACAGCACUCAGCCAGUGUGGCCCAGUGGAAACAGCUCAGGUAGGGUCUGAGAUGGUCAUUUGUAUAUGAGCAAUCCAGGGCAAUUUCAGGAAGCAACAGGCUAAAUCCACAAUGGUGACAAAGAUGGUGAGACGAAGAUGGGUUCCUCUAAGCUCCCAGAGUUUCUCUCACCCAUUGAAUCAUCAUGUGAAGUGGACUUUAAUAUUUACUCCCCAUCCAGAUUAAGCAAAUUUUUUCUUCCUUCAAUAGUAUUAGUCUGUGCCCAUGGAGCAUGGAGGUGGCUUCCUGGGAUGGAGGAACUGAGCUCAUGCCACGUGAAGGAGUCUCCAUUCCUACUUGCCUCAGCCUCAGAAGCCAAAAUCGUUCACAUGAAAGGCAGAUUAUUGCAAAUUAAUUAAGAAAAUGAGCAUGAAGGAGCUGCACAAGUAUUUACAAUAGCAUGCUGAAACAGGGAGCCCAGGGACAAGGACAAAGGGCUGGUGGCAAGAGGAACCCCCUAAGAGUGAUGGGAGCAUCGGAAUCCAUGCACUUAAAUGUUGGUCAAAGGAAAUCCUAAGGAGAAAGGCGAAAGAAGAACAGAGACUAUAAGAAGAUGUCACAGGGAAGGCAGAAGUAAACACAGAGACAGCUGGAGAGUUCCUGGAACAAGGGAAGAGCAGGAAGGCAUGAGGCUGGGAAUUGACUGAAUCCUCUGUGCAGUCACUCUGGUCACAGUUUCUCCUUUCUCCCUGGAAUGGACAAGCAGGAAACUGGGUUAUGCUCCCUCAGCUUCUGGCUGCAUGAGCACAUGCCCAGGGAGAGACUGCAGCUAGACCAGGCAGAGAACAUAUGGGAUGACACAAUGUGAAUAAAUGGAAAUUUUGCCCAGUUCAAACCGUCAGGACAGAAGACAAGGUAGGAGCAUACAGUAGGGUUAGAUGUACUCCUGACUCUAUGCAAUACAUAUACUUUAAAUGCCUCAGUCCGAAAAGCUCAGCAUUCUGAAAGCAGGCUGUCCCUUGUCCUC